UGCGGUCGAGCGACAGACGAGGAGCUUGCUCCUUUGACGUUAGCGGCGGAGCGGUGAGAAACACGUGGGUAACCUACCUAUAAGACUGGGAUCACUUCGGGAAACCGGAGCUAAUACCGGAUAAUAUUUCGAACCGCAUGGUUCGAUAGUGAAAGAUGGCUUUGCUAUCACUUAUAGAUGGACCUGCGCCGUAUUAGCUAGUUGGUAAGGUAACGGCUUACCAAGGCAACGAUACGUAGCCGACCUGAGAGGGUGAUCGGCCACACUGGAACUGAGACACGGUCCAGACUCCUACGGGAGGCAGCAGUAGGGAAUCUUCCGCAAUGGGCGAAAGCCUGACGGAGCAACGCCGCGUGAGUGAUGAAGGUCUUCGGAUCGUAAAACUCUGUUAUUAGGGAAGAACAAACGUGUAAGUAACUGUGCACGUCUUGACGGUACCUAAUCAGAAAGCCACGGCUAACUACGUGCCAGCAGCCGCGGUAAUACGUAGGUGGCAAGCGUUAUCCGGAAUUAUUGGGCGUAAAGCGCGCGUAGGCGGUUUUUUAAGUCUGAUGUGAAAGCCCACGGCUCAACCGUGGAGGGUCAUUGGAAACUGGAAAACUUGAGUGCAGAAGAGGAAAGUGGAAUUCCAUGUGUAGCGGUGAAAUGCGCAGAGAUAUGGAGGAACACCAGUGGCGAAGGCGACUUUU
rnacentral:rRNA from 1 species